rnacentral:rRNA from 1 species
UUUACCCUAGGGAGGCAGCAGUGAGGAAUAUUGGUCAAUGGGCGAGAGCCUGAACCAGCCAAGUCGCGUGAAGGAUGACGGCCCUACGGGUUGUAAACUUCUUUUGUCAGGGAGCAAUUGGGUCCACGCGUGGGCUUAGCGAGAGUACCUGAAGAAAAAGCAUCGGCUAACUCCGUGCCAGCAGCCGCGGUAAUACGGAGGAUGCGAGCGUUAUCCGGAUUUAUUGUGUUUAAAGGGUGCGUAGGCGGGCUUUUAAGUCAGCGGUAAAAAUUCGGGGCUCAACCCCGUCCGGCCGUUGAAACUGG